CUAACUACUGUACCCACAUACGAAAACCUUUUCGCCCCCAUCGAUCUCUCCUCUCGACGAAAACCUCGGCGAAAACCUUCUCGGCGAAACCCUCUGCUCGGCCAAAACCUCGCUCACCCCCAUCUCUCCGCCAAAAGCUCUUCUCGGCGAAAACCUCUGCUCUACCAAAACCUUGCUUGCCCCAAUCUCUCCGCCAAAACCUCUGGUCAUCUCCUCUGUCUGCCAAAACCAAGCCUCCACCAAAACCUAGCCUCUUUCUCCCAGAAACCUCCAUCUCCUCCCAAAACCUAGCCCCCACAAAAACCUACAUCUCCGCCAAAUCCCCACACGUCCCAUGACCUAGCCUCCGCCACUCUUCAGCGACUUGAGGUGUUUAGGACAACCGACGCCGUUGGAAAAGGCUCUUCUCGUGCGACUAGUUAAAACAACAAUUGUUGCAUCCAACACCUCCAAAACUGUGACAAAUACCAAAAUUAGAGCGAAAACCGUGAAGAAAGUGUAUUCUUUGCCCGACCAGAAGCAUGAUCCUCCUGAAGAGGAACUAUUGAGGAUAUUCUAUGAAUCUCUAUCGAAACAAAUUCCCUGAAAUGGCACAAUUUUGAGGAAGCUGAAGAGGAAGAAUGAUUAAUAGUGAUUGCUUGAACAGACUAAUAGUUAGGGGCCUUCCAAAGGUGUGACUGGGAAGUACUUUGAUGAAGAACUAUCAAGAAGACUUUGGGAUUUAAGCGAGAAGAUGGAUAAAGCCAAUGAGUAAAGAACAUUCAAGUCAAGAUGAUAAGUACCAUCUAUUAAGAUCAUUUAAAUUCAUGCAAUAAGAUGUAGUCGAGAGAAGUAGUUUUGAGUGUCCUAAUUUAAAUUUCUUUUUUAAGCAAGAAAUUAUCUUUGUUAUAGAAGUGUAAGGAUGAUAAUUUGUAUAUUUAUUUUGGUUGUUUAUUUAAUAAUAUGUUGUUGAUU